UACAGAGGGUGCGAGCGUUAAUCGGAAUUACUGGGCGUAAAGCGUGCGUAGACGGUUAUUUACGUCGGGUGUGAAAGCCCCGGGCUCAACCUGGGAAUUGCAUUCGAGACUGAAUAGCUAGGGUACGGUAGAGGGAAGCGGAAUUUCCGGUGUAGCGGUGAAAUGCGUAGAUAUCGGAAGGAACAUCAGUGGCGAAAGCGGCUUCCUGGACCAGUACCGACGUUCAGGCACGAAAGCGUGGGGAGCAAACCGG
rnacentral:rRNA from 1 species